rnacentral:rRNA from 1 species
UACGAAGGGGGCUAGCGUUGCUCGGAUUGACUGGGCGUAAAGGGCGCGUAGGCGGCUUGUACAGUCAGACGUGAAAUUCCUGGGCUCAACCUGGGGGCUGCGUUUGAUACGUAUGGGCUUGAGUUCGGGAGAGGGAUGCGGAAUUCCAGGUGUAGCGGUGAAAUGCGUAGAUAUCUGGAGGAACACCGGUGGCGAAGGCGGCAUCCUGGACCGAGAUUGACGCUGAGGCGCGAAAGCCAGGGGAGCAAACGGG